UUGCCACAGGCUACGACGGGUAGCCGGCCUGAGAGGUGACCGGCACACUGGGACUGAGACACGGCCCAGACUCCUACGGGAGGCAGCAGUGGGGAUCUUGCGCAAUGGGCGAAACCCUGACGCAGCGACGCCGCGUGAGGGAUGAAGGCCUUCGGGUUGUAAACCUCUUUCCGGAGGGACGAAGCGGGAGGGAACGUACGGGAAAAAUAAGGGCCGGCUAACUACAGCCGCCACGGGCGG
rnacentral:rRNA from 1 species